rnacentral:lncRNA from 1 species
AAUUUACCGUUACAUUCUCCAGCAAUUUUCAUGUCGUAGCCUGGCCUAUGUGUAACUUUUAUCCCAGAGUCUUUGUCGCCCUAGUGAGUGUUCCUUACGGAAUGCAUUGUGCUCCUGCAAACUUUUGGUCUCUCCAGCUUCUUUUCCUUUCUGGCAAUAUAUUCCCCAUAAAGAUUAUUUUUGCAUUCAUAUCAUUUGCAUCAUGAGGUCUCUUAGGGACCAAAAUUUGUUUCUUGAUGUUGUUA